GAUAGUUUACAAGAGAAGUAGAGAACUGCCGAAUACCCACCGGCCACCGAGACGCGGAGCUGCGAUUGCGAAGGCCGAACGAAGGGAGACCGUUACUCUGUGAAAGCUGAGAGACUGAGAGGCGGAGGCCGGAGAGUCAGAGACUAAAUCGGAGAGAGGCGACUAGCGAGUAGCGAGAGCGAAACUGAGAGAGACAGAUAAUCGAGACUCGAAAGAACUAAGAGAAAAGGAAUCGGG
rnacentral:lncRNA from 1 species